rnacentral:lncRNA from 1 species
AUCGCUAUCUCUAUCUACUGAACUGAUACGUGCGCUCACUGCCCACACACAUGUGUGACCCACGGCACAUACGAUGCAAAUGCCCAAGGAGGAAAGGUCCAACAGUUUCUGGGAGCCCUAAUUAGUGGUUCUCCAGUCAAAAAAAUUGGUCUAGUGUGUGUUAGCACAACAUAAUCACACUUACGUAAAAAAUGUUAAGUACAUACAUAAAGUAAUUAAAAAUACACUUGUACCAAAAAUGUUAGGUACAUAACAUUAAAUUUUUUCAAUAUUACAUAAGUUUGAAUUGGUAAUGAAUCAAUGAUUAGACGUAUGAGAAGUUGAUAUGAAGAAGGUAAAUUAACAAACAAAAAAAGAUUACUCAAACUAUCCUGGACCCGAACAUAUGAGAAGCUUGCGUGCAGGAUUGGGUUCGCGUCUGUGAUAUCUUCUAGGCCGAGCAAUGGGUCUCAACGAUGUCGUCCAUGGCUAGUUGUAUGACGGCAAUGGUGGUAGCCUCGCCAUCAAACAGUCCACCAACAUGAGCAGCGACACAACCGUCAUGGCCAACUCUAUGGUUUGCUGCAAAGGCUGCUCCCCGUUCACGCGCUUCUAUUGCCUCGCUCUCGUGUUGCCGCCGGGACCUGCAGUCUCUCGUUGCUAUGGGGAGGUCGCUGUCGUCGCAGGAAUCCGGUGGAUCUGAGCGAGACGUCCAAGAUCCGUCGCUGUUGGGAUCUCACGGCUGGGGAAGACGUAGGCCGGAAGGGAGGUCGCCGGGUGACCAGAUCUGGAGGCCCCGCUGCCGCCACGGUUUGUCGGCGCAGAUCAUGUCGCUGUCGGGAGCCCGCCGCCGUCGUGCCAUCGCCGGUGAGAUUUUCCUUCUUUUUUAUUUUUCUGCAAACUAAAAAGUAAAUGGUACUUCUAAUAUUUUUUUCGCCCCUCCAUCAGUUUCCCGGAAAGUUCGUUUUUUGUCUCUUAAAAAAUCCGUGCUUUCUUCGUACUGCAACUUUCCGACGGACACUUCCCGUCCCUCCUUUGAUCCGAAGCAGUACUUGUGUGCAUAUGGUUCUCGUCCCACUCCCUUUUGACAUCAUCCCCGCCGCCGACCUUGCUCGCCUCAACCCAUUGGAUCUCCCAAGCAUGGCCGACCCCGCCAAUGUCCGUGAUCCAUUCCCUCCACUCUUGCAACACCCACGAAUUAACUAUAGAUCGAUGGCACUAUGUAUGUGUGACUGUGUGUGCACGCCACGAGGUGCGCAUCGAGAGAUUCUUCUUGAGCCGAUCGGCGAUGAGGUGUGCGCGCGGGACCUGUUUUAGAAACCCUUAGGUAGAAGAAUCUCCUGCAAGGCGAUCGCCGCCACGAGCCUGUUUCAGAAAUCCUUGUACAACAGGUCCUACCUUCCAUUGUAGUUGGGGUAGUCGGAAACUAUCAACCUACAGAAGUUUAGAUAUAGUGGCGCCAUCCACAUCUCAACGUGAAGCGCAACGAGAACAAUGGCACUAAGGUCCAGGAAGCAUUCCAUCCACCUCGGCUCUAUAGUGAUGAACCGGCCAGGUGGAUAAUAGGUAGAGGCGGACCAGCAGGCAGGCAAGGAUGCUGCGGAGGAACAUUAGAUGAACUCCCCAACCAUUCACUCAGGCAACGCUCCUUGGCCUUGUCGAGGAACUCAUGGACAAGCUGCAUGGUGUCCUGGGAGAGGAGCACGAGGCAGCUAGAGAAUGAGUUGUUGACCUCGGCAGUGCCUACGAUGCAAAUGUACUAAGUAAUAAUAAUAAUAAGAGACGAUUUUUCUUCGGAAAAGAUCUACGAAGACUUUUGGAAAAACGUCAAUGUUUGCUUGCUUAUUCGGCAAAGAAAAAAAGUGUGGUUGCCGCCGGGAGGUCGUCGCCGUUGCAGGAAUCCGGCGGAUCUGAGCGAGACGUCCGAGAUCAGUCGCUAAUGGGAUCUCAUCGCUAGGGAAGACGUAGGCCGAAAGGGAGGUCGCCGGGUGGCCAGAUCUAGAGGCCCUGCCGCCGCCGCCGGUUGUCGGAGCAGAUUCCGAGAUCAGUCGCUGAUGGGAUCUCAUCGCUAGGGUAGGCCGAAAGGGAGGUCGCCGGGUGGCCAGAUCUAGAGGCCCCGCUGCCGCCACCGGUUGUCGGAGCAGAUCACGUCGCUGUCCAGAGCCCGCCGUCGUCGUGCCAUCGCUGGUCAGUUUAUCCUUCUUUUUUAUUUUUCUGCAAACUAAAAAUUAAAUGGUACUUUAAAAAAAAAAUCAGCCCUCAGUUUUCCGGAAAGUUCAAUUUUCGUCUCUUAAAGAAAUCGUACUUUUUUCGUACUGCAACUUUCGAACGGACACUUUUCGUCCCUCCUUUGAUCUGAAGCCGUACUUGUGUCCACAUGGUUCUCAUCCCACUCCAGCUAGCCUACGCUUAGUUCCUCCUAUAUGAUUUUUUGCAUGUGUUGAGCGUCGCAAUCCAUCGUGAUAGAUAUUUUCUUAAUCGCUAUCUCUAUCUACUGAACUGAUACGUGCGCUCACUGCCCACACACAUGUGUGACCCACGGCACAUACGAUGCAAAUGCCCAAGGAGGAAAGGUCCAAUAGCUUCUGGGAGUUCUAAUUAGUAGGUCUCCAGUCAAAAAAAUUGGUCUAGUGUGUGUUAGCACAACAUAAUCGCACUUCUGUAAAAAAUGUUAAGUACAUACAUAAAGUAAUUAAAAAUACACUUGUACCAAAAAUGUUAAGUACAUAACAUAAAAAAAAUGUUCAAUAGUACAUAAGUUUGAAUUGGUAAUGAAUCAAUGAUUAGACGUAUGAGAAGUUGAUAUGA